CUAUCUGUUCUAAUGUAUAUUUUUGGCUCUUUUGUCUAGUAUGAGAUAGCCAUAUUUAUGUGGGUUUCUGUGUCUUCUAUUCUAGAUCAUUGGUCUACAUGUCUAUUUUAGUACCAGUACCAUGCAAUUUUUGUUACUAUUGCUCUGUAAUAUAGUUUAAGGUCCUGUAUCGUGAUUCCUCCUGCUUCACUUUUCUUGCUAAGGGUUGCUUUGUCUAUUCUGAACCUCUUAUAUUUCCAAAUGAAUUUCACGAUUGCCUUGUCUAUUUCUAUAAGGAAUAAUGUUGGGAUUUUAAUUGGAAUCACUUUGAAUCUGUUUAGCACUUUUGGUAGUAUGGCCAUUUUGACAAUAUUAAUUCUGCCUAUCCAAAACCACAGGAGAUCUUUUCCAUUGUCACUAGAAUUCUUCAUGACAUCAACCAUUCUAAAUUGCAUUCUGUGGAAAAAGACUUAAGAUGAAGAGAUACAAAGCUAAGACUUAUUGGGGCUGGGACUGUAGCUCAGUGGCAGAGUGUUUGAUCCUCAGCACCACAUAAAAAUAAAUAAAGACAUACUGUUCAUCUAGAACUACAAAAAAUUAAAAAAAUUUAUUGAGGAGUGCUAAAACUCUUGAGAGGUAUAUAAGUAAGGAAGUAAGGAAAGCAGGAUUGGGCAUAGGGAAAAACUGACACACCUGAAGAUGUAACUAUUAUGGUUUAGAUAUGAGGUGUCCCCAAAAAGCUCAUGUGUGAGACAAUGCAAAAAAGUUUAGAGGUGAAAUGAUUGGGUUAUGGGAAUUUUAACCUAAUCAUUACAUGAAUCCCGUGAUGGGAAUUAACUGGAUCGUAACUGUAGGCAGGCAAGGUGUGGCUGGAAGAGGUGGGUCCCAGAAGAGUGUGUUUGGGGUUUAUAUUUUGUUAUGGUGAGGACAGAUAGCUCUCUGUCUCUGUCUCUCUCUGCUUCCUGGUAGCCAUGUCUUGAG
rnacentral:lncRNA from 1 species